AUUGAACGCUGGCGGCAGGCCUAACACAUGCAAGUCGAACGAGUGGCGGACGGGUGAGGAAUGGAUGGGAAAAGGCCCGAGGGAGGGGGAUAAAGAAUGGAAACGGUAGCUAAUACAGCAUAACAUCGGAUGUGGCCAGAUGGGAUUAGCUAGUAGGUGGGGUAACGGCUCACAUAGGCGACGAUCCCUAGCUGGUCUGAGAGGAUGACCAGCCACCCUGGAACUGAGCCACGGUCCAGACUCCUACGGGAGGCAGCAGUGGGGAAUAUUGCACAAUGGGCGCAAUCCUGAUGCAGCCAUGCCGCGUGUAUGAAGAAGGCCUUCGGGUUGUAAAGUACUUUCAGCGAGGAGGCGUUACUCGCAGAAGAAGCACCGGCUAACUCCGUGCCAGCCGCCGCGGUAAUAC
rnacentral:rRNA from 1 species